CCUACGGGCGGCAGCAGUGGGGAAUAUUGCACAAUGGGGGAAACCCUGAUGCAGCGACGCCGCGUGAGUGAAGAAGUAUUUCGGUAUGUAAAGCUCUGUCAGCAGGGAAGAAAAUGACGGUACCUGAGUAAGAAGCCCCGGCUAACUACGUACCAGCAGCCGCGGUAAUACGUAGGGGGCAAGCGUUAUCCGGAUUUACUGGGGGUAAAGGGAGCGUAGACGGCAGUGCAAGUCUGGAGUGAAAGGCGGGGGCUCAACCCCCGGACUGCUCUGGAAACUGUACGGCUGGAGUGCAGGAGAGGUAAGUGGAAUUCCUAGUGUAGCGGUGAAAUGCGUAGAUAUUAGGAGGAACACCAGUGGCGAAGGCGGCUUACUGGACUGUAACUGACGUUGAGGCUCGAAAGCGUGGGGAGCAAACAGGAUUAGAUACCCGUGUAGUC
rnacentral:rRNA from 1 species